AGCAGCCGCGGUAAUUCCAGCUCCAAUAGCGUAUAUUAAAGUUGUUGCAGUUAAAAGCUCGUAGUUGAAUUUCGGGAUCAAUUUGCUGGUCGGAACCUCUGGUACGUACUGGUAUUAUUGAUUUCUUUCAUUCUGAUAGAUCAUGGAUGUCAUUAAUUUGAUGACUUUGAGGAAUCGGAACUUUUACUUUGAAAAAUUGAGUGUUUAAAGCAGGCUUAUCAGGCUUGAAUACAUUAGCAUGGAAUAAUGAAAUAGGACGAUUGAUCCUAUUUUGUUGGUUUCUAGGAUUGACGUAAUGAUUAAUAGGGAUAGUUGGGGGCAUUAGUAUUCAAUUGUCAGAGGUGAAAUUCUUGGAUUUAUUGAAGACUAACUACUGCGAAAGCAUUGCCAAGGAUGUUUUCA
rnacentral:misc_RNA from 1 species